UACGGAGGGGGCUAGCGUUGUUCGGAAUUACUGGGCGUAAAGCGCGUGUAGGCGGCCAGGUAGGUCUGCUGUGAAAACUCGAGGCUCAACCUCGAGACGUCGGCGGAAACCAUCUGGCUAGAGUCCGGAAGAGGAGAGUGGAAUUCCUGGUGUAGCGGUGAAAUGACGCAGAUAUCAGGAAGAACACCCGUGGCGAAGGCGGCUCUCUGGGACGGUACUGACGCUGAGACGCGAAAGCGUGGGGAGCGAACAGG
rnacentral:rRNA from 1 species